rnacentral:rRNA from 1 species
UACGGGGGGGGCAAGCGUUGUUCGGAAUUACUGGGCGUAAAGGGCUCGUAGGCGGCCAACUAAGUCAUACGUGAAAUCCCUCGGCUUAACCGGGGAACUGCGUCUGAUACUGGAUGGCUUGAGUUCGGGAGAGGGAUGCGGAAUUCCUGGUGUAGCGGUGAAAUGCGCAGAUAUCAGGAGGAACACCGGUGGCGAAGGCGGUGGUCUGGGCCGGCACUGACGCUGAGGAGCGAAAGCGUGGGUAGCAAACAGG